CAUCAGGGCUGCUGUCCCAGUUUGCCGUAGGAGGGCAGCAGCCUACAGCCGGAUUGACUGGCGACGGGACUGUCCUGAUCAGUCCACCCUUCUGCUCUGUUUUAUUCUCACUUGUACACGUCCAGUGCAGGACAGCCAUACCUAUGCCCUCGGCUGGCUAUGCUACAGCUUCUGCACGGACACAACUCACACAUCUCGAUAUUAUCAGUCCAUUUGUCUGGGUGAGGGUCUGCAGCAGGGAUUACUUUUGUGCUGCCAUACUCUGCAAGGAUGCUGUAGGGUAGAAGGCUCUCCUCUGAAACAGAUGAAAAUAGGGAAGGCAAGUGGAUGUGGACAGCCAAGAGACAAAUGUUGAAACCAGUGAGAUGGUUGGAAAGAGGGGAAAUAACAAGACACAUCCUCUGCCUGGUGUUGGCACCAUCCAUCUAUCAUCCCUGCCUCAGCAUCCAUGAGCACACCCCUCUCCCAGCUCUGUUCUGCUUCACCUCAGGGGAUAAGAGAGGAGUAUUGCUGGGAAGCAGAACUGGCUCCCUUCCCUCUCCUACCACACCGGUGAGACAAAGCCAAAGUGCAAAAUACAGAUGGGAGGUAAAGGUGAGCAAGAUCCAACAGCCUGGAGUGGGACAGAAGAGAGCUUGCAUCUAGAAGAUGCUGUUAAUCAUAAUUUUGUCCUCUAAUUGUUUCAGCACUGGCUGGUAUUGUAUAUAUUUAGGAACAUGAGACCUCCACAGUGUCUCCUACUGAGGUCAGUGUACUCUGACUCUCUUCUGCAUUACAAAGGCAGUCUGUGCCUCUGCUGGCUACUCAGUGGGCUCUUGUGCUACAGCGUCGUGCUAGCAAACAUCUCUCAGGAUUUCACUCUCAUUUGCUAAAGCUACAUGGCAGGUGGGAGGCUGUUACCCAUCAGCUCUCCAGAGUUGCUUAAGCUCUUUAUGGGCAACUCAGAGAGAAGAGCUGGUGCAUUCUACCCAGUUUUGAACUGACUGGAGCUUAGGAGCUUAACUGUGCUUCACAAACAUUCAGAGACAAAGAGCAGGGAGCAGAUGAAUAAUGCCAGUGCAGAUCAACAACAACAGUACAAUAGAUUCUGUAUUCCUCAUACAAAACAAUUCACUGAGGCAUGCAUCCUGGAAAGCUUUCUUCCUCCUAAGGUACCUAUCACAGUUUGCUUUCCAUCUAGAUAGCACAUUUGCAGCAAAUUAGAUUACCUUCCAAAUAAACAUGCAGGGUGGGGCAUGGUAGCCUGGGGUAGGACAGGUCAGUGCUCUGCAUGAUUAAUUUAGUUACAUCAGGCUCAGAUAAAUCUUACUAAAUUAAAUUUAGGUGGAGUAUGGGCUGUGCACAGACAGACUUUGAAGCUGUGGUUGCCAUGAUGUUGAUUUUCACCCUUGUUGGUGUCUUGAAUAACACCGAGACCCCCAGUAGGAGAUGUAUUUGAUUAAGUCUUGUCUGAGUCAGUGAGGUGGCUGCAGUCGAUGGAACCAUGCUGAUUUCUAUCAGCAGAGGCUACUGCUUGUUCUUUUAAUCUUGUAGUGCUGAGAAGCCCAAACCCUGCAUCAGCAUCUCACCAUUGUGAAAUCUCAGUGUGUAGAUCCUGCAUGCAGACACAGUCAAUACAAUUCUAGUGUGGAAAUUAGUUAGGGGAAAAAGACUUUGGUGCUUGUUGCCUGAUGCUCCUCUUGCCCAUCUUUCUGGAUUACCCUCUCCCUGCCUGCCCAGAACCUCCAUCUACCACCUGUGUGAUACCUCGGUGGUCAGGUGCACCCCUCAAGCAUAAGCCCACCCACAUAUUGCAUCUUUUCUUAGAUGUUGUGAUGUUUCAUGGGCUUACUAAGCUACAUAUAACUGACCCUGACAUUCCCAGUCUAGGUCACUCCAGAAAUCCAGAUGGAUUCUGCUCCCUUGUAAUUGGAUGAUGUUAGGGUAUGCUGUGCAGCAGUGUCCAACAAAGCCUUCUGCUUCUGUGGAUCACCUGCCAGGCCAUCAAACCAGCAUUGUUGGGUGGGUGCUUUGUAGCAGUGAUUUUCCUUGCAGUCUGUGCAUGUGGACUUCUAGAUUUGAGGUGGGCACAUUGUUCCACUUCUUCAUCCUCCUAAUUGUGCAGGAGGAACCACAGGCUGGCAUGGCAUGCCCUGCAUCCUCCCUUCCCUCUGGCAGGACAGAAACAACUCUGUGGGGCAUCUCUGGCAGCUGAGACCUAGACCUUUGGUCAGGGGGAGGAGGGGAGAUUCUCUUUGAAACCUGGGAGCCAUUGGAACAGUCACUGUGCAGUUAGCGGUUCGGGGUCUGUCCAGUGCAUCAGCCCCAUGGUGUUGGCGUACAGCACUGGUGAGUUACGUGCACCUUCUGCACAUGGACUGGGUGCAGUCCCACCACCUCUACUUCCCUCAAGCAUUGGAUGCCUUUUACAGUGGUGGUUCUCUUGCCCAGGCAUCGUACCAAGUCAUCCUUGAGGGAGUAACUGCUUUCAUUGUCAACAGGAGUUAUGUCCAAAGGCUUCCCUUUGUCAGUCCCAGUGUCUCUCCUCGGGGAUCCCAGCUGCCUGGCUUGCUGGCUAACUCCUGACAGAAGAUCCCAGUAUCCUGACAUUGGAGCAACUAGGCAGCAAUCUGCUCACCUGGCUUGUGACUGUAAUUUUUCCACAGAUCUUGCAGGUCCUUUAAAACUAGGGAUUUAUGACCUGCGUGAUUUCCUACUCCUUGGUCUCUUUGUUACUCCCUCAUCCUGCCUCCUCUGAUGGUGCUGGGCUGCGGCUCAGUAGGCACAGGCCAAGUCCAAAAACAUUGCCAAAAUUUGCUGAGUCUCAUUGGGUUAGGCAAGGCACCUUCCUUCGAGUGGUGAGCCAGUUCAACAGGUUUAUGUGCCUGUUCAAGUGUGAAAUCUCAGGCUAUUGAAGGUGAUAACUGCUCUAGGCACUGGCUUUAGGCACCUUCCCAAAUCCUCCCACAAACCUUGCCAGCACCAACUGGCCAUCUUGGUGCACAUUUCUUUGUCACCUCACCAACAAUGCUUUAUGCUUUGUUUACUCUUGUACCAGGACCAAGCCAGGGUCUGCAGGCCCAACAGCGAUCCAACAGUGCUUGAGAACAUAAUCAAACAGCAUGCAUGAGCACAUACAGGGAACUUGGGAGCCCAUGCAAAAAAGCUGGACACAUCCAUCCCAGGGGAGCAGAGGAUCCAUCCCAGGGGAGCAGAGGGAGGUGUAAUCCCUAAUGCUUCCUGCAAGGCAGCUCACACAGCACGAGAGGAGCAUCAAUGCCAGGGCUGUACGCCAGCCCUGGCACAUGGCCAUUGUCUUUUUAAAAAGGUGUCCAGGCACAGUGAAAUAAAGCAAUAAGCACCACAGCAAACAGCAGAAACAGCCUUGGACUAUAAUAUACAGUGAAGAACACAGGCUGCUUGACCAGCACAGGAUCUGCCUCUAACAACUCUAAAUGCUGAUAGAAUGCUCAAAUCGAACCCGUUAUGUCAGGCCCCAUGCUGUGCUUGGAACAGACUGUUGUGGGCUCACCCUACCUAACAGAUGCCGACCCAGCUGCUUGCUGACUCCCUUCCCGCAUGGGAUGGGGACAAAACAGAAAGAAGGAUACAUGAAGAAAUUAUUCUGAGAGAGGUGCACAACACAUUCCUAACCAUACCACCUAUGUAUGGCUGAGGACACGAGGAAUAUAUCCAGCCAUGAAGAAAUGGCCUCUCAGCCAUCAGUUCAUGGUCAGAAGUGCAUCAGAGUUUCAGACUCUCUUUUUCCCAAAAUGAAAUUAUCCUCAGUAUCUGCAGGUAAUAAACUGCCCCUGAUAAGCUUUAACUGCAGAUGGCACAGUGGCAACAUCCUUUAUUGGGAAAAAGAAAGAAGUAGAGAAGACCUUAAAGAAAAUUUCCUUGGAGUCCAGCAUGAGUUUUGCUCAGAACAGUCUUCUGGAGCAGAUACAGCAUCCAGUGUCAGCAGAUCUCCAGCACACUCAUAGAUACUCAUGAAAUGCGAAGGAAUACUGGCAUACUGAGAUGUUUAUGGCAAAGUCAUACCCCUGCAGAUGACAGCUAAGUUCAAAUCAAUGGCACCUGCCUGUGGCAGAGACCCGUCCCACUGCUUAUACUGAGAAGACUGAGGCAGGUUAGUUCAGAGAACUGGCACUUCUGUCCUGAGGAGGGCAGCACAAGAGAUUCCCACUUCUGGAGGUCAAGCUUUACGCUUCAUUCAAUUUAGAACCUACUUCAGCAGUGGGCAGCAGCAGAUUUGCAACCUUUCUGAUCUGAUCAUAAUGAGUUCAACUCUUGGCUGCUGAGGUUAACAAGAUCAGGCCCAAGCUGACAGAAGGUAAAGUAACUGUAACACAAAGCACAGAGGUUUGUCCCUUAAUUUCCCUCCACAUAGAUACUCCUUCAGGACAUCAAGCUUUUGAGUCAAAUGCCUCAACUGCUCUUGAAUUUCAAGGAAACAAUACUCUCAAGCCAGAAGUCCUUGCUCUGGGCACACUCUACUAAUAGGUACUCUGGCUCAAAGACAGGGUUGAUCCAGUAGUUUUGCAAUGAAAGACUACAUCUUGGGGGAAAAAAAAAGGUAUUAAUAAAAACAUACCUGUGAAAUAUUCUCCAAAUUCUUGUUCUAAUUUAAUUGCUCGAUCAUAGGUUUUCUUUGCUUGCUCCUCUGUAAGACGUUUAUUCAUUUCCCUAGAAACAUGGAGAAAGUAAUUAAAAAGUUUAGAUUCUUGCUAGAAUGGUUUUCAAAAGGCAUGCUCAACUGAAUCACAGAUGGAUUGAGAUUAGUAAAAGAAUGAAAUGGUAAAAUUCUUCCAACAGUUCGUGGACAGCUUCAGUAUUUUCAAUUUAAUUUCAUUCUUAUGUAGUACAAAACUACUUCUUCAGACUGUUUCCCAUUUAACUUUUCUCCACCAUGUUUUUAUCUUGGGUUCACGACUCUAUAUUCUCAAACAAAAUACUAGACCUGAGUCUAGCAGCUGCUAAAUGAGAUAGGCUUGAGACAUCAGGAGCCCAUAGACAGGUCUGGAAUCCAGGAUGUUCCAUAGUCUAAGCACUCAGCACUCCUGCCUGAAGCUCCUUCAGGAAUCUGUAUCUCCCAGACUCAGCUGGUGGUCUCAGAUGGAUAAGGCUGUACUGACUGCUUAUUGGCUGCUAAUAAAUAUAAAAACAAAGACAGCAGGUAACAUUGUGGUUUUUUCAGUGUUUUGUUAUUUGAUGGAGCAUUUCUGUUUCAACAGAAACAUUAUUUAAUAACUUUAAGAAAUGAGUUGUCUUGCCCAUGCAUGCUCAGGUAUUAAUACCACUGCAUACUUGCAAUGAAUCAAGAUCAUGCUCAUUCACUGCCUUAUACUCAUA